UACAGCCAUAACACAUUGAAACAUUGGUUCCCAUAUGAUCACUGAAGUUAAGCAUCGUUGAUCCUGGUCAGUAGCUAGAUGGGCCACUGCUUGAGAAUACCAAGUGCUGUAAG